rnacentral:lncRNA from 1 species
CCUAGACAGAGUGUGCACAGCCACGGUCUAGGAAAUCUGAGGAGUCCAUGAGUUACGGAGCAUAGGGUACAGGUUAAAAGUAACAGAACUUGAGACGAGUCUGAGGGGAUACAAGAGAGACCAUUUAAGGCCUUGAGAGUGAGCUAAGUAGUUUGAACUUGAACCCAAGAGCUUCAUCUUUUUACAAGUCAUGCGGUACUGUUUAACUUAACAACCUGGAUCUGACUAUGUAGGUCAAGUAUUGACCCCAACCUACUGCAGGCGUAGUCUAUGGAGAAAAUAUUUGCACAAAAUUACUUGGAUCAUUUUUAUGGAAUCACAACUUCUCUCCCAGUCAUUUCAGAUGAUGGAUAGUUAUUUUAUUCCUUCUAACAAAAUAUCUCACUCAGCCUGGGUUGCACAGAGGAGAACAGACAAACUUUGAGGGGAAGACGGAGGCAAGGGACUGGAUGACCUUGGAGAGACCUUGAGAUCCAAGCAAUAGCACCGUGGCCCUAGCACCCAGCAGUAACAGGAGCUUGCAGGAGUCAAACAUCUGAAGAUGGGACGCCGCCUAAACGUGGCCUGACGAGUGGUGCCAUGUCCUUGCCCAGGAUCCGAACCAGCGAAACCCUGGGCCGCCGUCGCACGAACUUAACCACUAGGCCACGGGGCAUUGGUGGGUUCAUUUGCAACCAUUUAAAAUGCUUAAAAAUUGGAAUUUUUAACAUAAAAAUUGGAAACAUAACAUGUAAACUUUUUG